rnacentral:rRNA from 1 species
UCUACGGGAGGCAGCAGUGAGGAAUAUUGGUCAAUGGGCGCGAGCCUGAACCAGCCAAGUAGGGUGAAGGAUGACUGCCCUACGGGUUGUAAACUUCUUUUAUAAAGGAAUAAAGUGAGGCACGUGUGCCUUUUUGUAUGUACUUUAUGAAUAAGGAUCGGCUCACUCCGUGCCAGCAGCCGCGGUAAUACGGAGGAUCCGAGCGUUAUCCGGCUUUAUUGGGUUUAAAGGGAGCGUAGAUGGGUUGUUAUAUCAGUUGUGAAAGUUUGUGGCUCAACCGUAAAAUUGCAAUUGAUACUGGCAGCCUUGAGUACAGUUGAGGUAGGCGGAAUUCGUGGUGUAGCGGUGAGAUGCUUAGAUAUCACGAAGAACUCCGAUUGCGAAGGCAGCUUACUAAACUGCCACUGACAUUGAUGCUCGAAAGUGUGGGUAUCAAACAGGAUUAGAUACCCCUGUAGUC